GGUGGCUCAGUGGUAGAGCAUUUGCCUUGCAUGCAUGAGGCCCUGGGUUUGAUUGCUCAGCACCA
rnacentral:tRNA from 1 species